rnacentral:rRNA from 1 species
GACAGCAGCCGCCGCGGGAAUACGAAGGGUGCAAGCGUUACUCGGAAUUACUGGGCGUAAAGCGUGCGUAGGUGGUGGUUUAAGUCCGUUGUGAAAGCCCUGGGCUCAACCUGGGAAUUGCAGUGGAUACUGGGUCACUAGAGUGUGGUAGAGGAUAGUGGAAUUUCCGGUGUAGCAGUGAAAUGCGUAGAGAUCGGAAGGAACAUCUGUGGCGAAGGCGACUAUCUGGGCCAACACUGACACUGAGGCACGAAAGCGUGGGGAGCAAACAGGAUUAGAUACCCGCGUAGUCCCUGUCUCUUAUAC